UAAAACGUUCGUAGCCGGUCUGGUAAAUCCUUGGGUAAAUCGGGGAGCUCAACUUUCCGAAUUCCGAGGAGACUGCCAGACUUGGGACCGGGAGAGGCUAGAGGUACUUCUGGGGUAGGGGUAAAAUCCUGUAAUCCUAGAAGGACCACCGGUGGCGAAGGCGUCUAGCUAGAACGGAUCCGACGGUGAGGGACGAAGCCCUGGGUCGCAAACGGGAUUAGAUACCCCGGUAGUCCAGGGUGUAAACGCUGCAGACUUGGUGUUGGAGGCCCUUCGGGGGCAUUCAGUGCCGGAGAGAAGUUGUUAAGUCUGCUACUUGGGGAGUACGUCCGCAAGGAUGAAACUUAAAGGAAUUGGCGGGGGAGCACCGCAACGGGAGGAGCGUGCGGUUUAAUUGGAUUCAACACCGGAAAACUCACCAAGGGCGACCAUUACAUGAAAGCCAGGCUAAUGACCUUGCUAGAUUUUUGGAGAGGUGGUGCAUGGCCGUCGUCAGUUCGUACCGUAAGGCGUUCUCUUAAGUGAGAUAACGAACGAGACCCUCACUGAUAAUUGCUAAUCUAUUCUCCGGAGUAGAUGCACAUUAUUGGGACCGCUGACGCUAAGUCAGAGGAAGGAGAGGUCAACGGUAGGUCAGUAUGCCCCGAAUCUCUUGGGCUACACGCGCGCUACAAAGGGCGGGACAAUGGGCUCCGACGCCGAGAGGCGAAGGUAAUCUCGAAACCCGUCCAUAGUUCGGACUGAGGGUUGUAACUCACCCUCACGAAGCUGGAUUCCGUAGUAAUCGCGAAUCAACAACUCGCGGUGAAUAUGCCCCUGCUCCUUGCACACACCGCCCGUCAAACCAUCCGAGUUGGGUUUCAGUGAGGUGGCCUUUAAUUGGGGUCUUCAAACUGAGAUUUAGCAAGGAAGGUUAAGUCGUAACAAGGUAUCUGUAGGGGAACCUGCAGAUG
rnacentral:rRNA from 1 species